CUCCCACCACAGUCGGUCAUGUCGGUUAAAAUUAUGGUCAAACUUGAAUCUCGAAAAGCGCGGGCGCACUACAUUACGAAAUGGAGGGAAUAUUAGUCAAUUAUGUCUCACCUUCUCUUUUUAAUUGACAUUGAACAUAUUUUUAGUUUUUGAAUUUGAUAUACUCCUCUGGUCCCAAAAUAAGUGUCUUAAUUUUAAUACAACAUUUAUAUACUAAAAUGGUUCGUGGUGGCACUUUCUUGUUUGAUAGACAUUUCUUUUUUUAGUGGUGUUUGAUAGACAUUUGAUUGAGUUGAGUUAAACACGUACUACACCGUAAGUAGUACCAUUGUUGGCUAAUCUUUUCACCUAAGCAAAGUUCCAUCUAACAACUAUCCAGACUAUCAACACAUGAGUGGCUACAUGUACAUAAAAAAUCAUAGUGUGGCUACAGGUUCCCACCAACAUGAACCUUCAUUUUGUCCUUUCUCGAGUGUUCUUGUCUUCUCCAUUUCCAAAAAAAGUCCUCUUGAACUUUGAACACCGUGGGAAAAAAGUCUUCUUUUCUUCUCGGGAGCUCCCGGCCAUGUAAAGGAUGAGCCAGCCUGGGUCCGCCGCAUCGCAUAUGUGAGGAUCACCUCGAAGCUCCCCUCGGUCUCCUCUCAUACUUCGUGGUCCUCACACACCUCGUGGCUGGGACUGCGCAUAGUUUGGUUGCCCGCGUGCCUCGUCGAUCUCCCGGGCCGUCAGCGGGUAGCAGGGCCCUGAUGUCAGCUGCCUGAGGGAGGAUUCGAGCCCGUCGAACUCGACGGCGCAGUUGCCGUUGGCUUCCAUUGAUGCGAUGAAGCCACAACCCCGCUUCAGCAUCGCAUUCUUCCACCUGCAGGUCCCCCCUCUCCAUUUUCCUUUUUCUGUCUUUGUACGACUGAACCAAUAUACUUUAAGGUAUUUCUUAACAGUGACAAAUGGUAUAUAUUGACUGCUAUUGAAAUGAGAUAGUAGUAAGUCUGGAUGCCCAACGCAGCUUAAGGCAAAUUGUUAAUUAGUUUAUGCGCCGUCCACUUUUUUCAGGGCCUGAGACCGGAAUCGCAGUUUGUGAUUAGUGUAUAGUGUAUUUGUGAUUAGCUGUAGUUUUAAUAUUUCCCAAAGACAAAUUUAUUUUAAUAACUAGGUAGUAAAAUUAGGUUUGAUUGCAUUCUACAUAUGAAAUAUAACGAUGAUCUGAUGCUCUCAACAUUGGCUUGACUAUAUAAUAAGCUUAAAAUAUCAGAUGAUGUAGAAUGUCGAUUGAUGUUUGGUAUUACUGAACUAUUUCCAUAAAAUGUUGAUGCAUCUUUCCAGUACUUAUCCGGAAUAGUUGACCAUCUCCGUCCUGUCAUAUCUUGUUAUCAUAGGUAAGUGAGUUAUUAUUUUGAAGGUAGUCUGCAGUGUACUUUUUUCCUUCAUGUACCUAUGAUUAUAUAUAAUGUAUAAAAGGCAGUGUCAUCCAUCUAGCAAUGCGAUAGAGAUGGCCUCUACCCCGGCGGAAGUUCAAGCCAACACCCACCUACUCCCUCCGUAAAUAAAUAUGAGAGUGUUUAGAUCAUUAAAGUAGUGAUCUAAACACUUAUAUUUCUUUACAGGGGGGGUACUUCAUAAGUAUGCAAGUAGCGGCGCGUGCUCUUUUAAAAAAGUCUUUGUUUCUAUCUGACCAAUUCCUUUGGUUUGUACUAAUAAUUGUACUGUAUACAUGCACUUAGCCUGAGUGCAUGGACCACUCUUAUGUAGUAAAUUCCCAAAUAGACAAUGGAUAAUGGUACAUUAGAGUAUAAAAUUGAUAAUGCAUGAUUAGUUGAGUGAAAUCGGUUCUGGCUCUCCAUGUUUGAUGCUGUGAAGCAGAAUAUGUGUAAAGCACUACCGAGUUUUUCUAUCCUGGCCAUUUUGUCCUGUUGUACAAUGGAGAUUCCAACAGUCAUACAGUCCAUUGUGGCUGCUAGUUAGUAGGUUAAUAGUGUAACCCCCCUUAAAAAUUAGUUCUUUUGUUUAUUAGCAGCUUCAUUCCUUUCUGUAUUAUAGUUUGAGCAACUCUUUAGAUAGCAAAUUCUUUGAUCUCAUUUAUUUGCUGUUUCUACCAAGUGUUUGUCCUCAUGUUUGUAGUCAUUCAUUGAAUAUGAAGAGCAAAAAAGUGAAAAUCCGAGUUGGAGAGGUGCAGGUCUAUCAUAAGGAUGUGUUCAUUUUCGGGAAUGAUUAGGCGGAGCAGACAUGUUACGAAUGUACAUCUUCAAUUGAGUACGCCUCCUAUUCAUAUCUACUGUUUUUUUACUAUGAUUUUCACAUCUAUUGUUAUUAUAAACAAAAGCAUAUUUUUUAAUUCUUUGAGACUGAAAUAAAUCUAAGUACAUAUGAGAAAGGAAGAAGAAAUAUCAAUAGAAUUUGCAGAAUUAAAUAUUAAGAUGAGUAACAUAUGCAAAAUAAAUCAAUAAUGAGAAUUCUGAACUUUUAUUUUUUUGAUAAAGUUUGUAGUGACAAUGAUGAUCGUUUGUUUGUGCAAAACCUCCAUUAACCAUACUUCCAAAAAGUUUUACCCAUAGAGUGAUCCCUAUCUUCUCACCACUGAAAGAAUUUAACCAUGUAAAAGUAAUGUAAAAAGUUAUAUAGAUAACUUUAAAAUUGCUUACAUAAUUUGAAUAACUUACUCUAGCAAAAGAACAUAAAUCUCGCUGAUGUUUGAAGUUUGCUGUCAUGGUGAAGACGAUUAAACCGGGCUGGUGGUCAGCUGAGUGGGCACAUCUCUUAGAAUAAGAGAGGGUAAUAGUUCAAUCCUCCAAAUUUUUAGAACUGGCCUGGUCCAAAACUUCAGUUGUAGAAAUUCUUUCGAAUUUAUAGAGGAAAAAAACUAAAGGACUUGUUUGUGAAGUUUUUCGGGGAGGUGCCGUUAGUAGGAGAGGAGUUUCAGAGUUUAGCCAAGGUUGCUUGACGGUGUUCCGUGGACUAUUCUUUAUCAGUUGCAGGACCUAAUUUAUUCUUCCCUUCAAUUGUAUAUGUGCAUGGUGUGAACUUUGACAAUGAGACAGGCAGAAUCACAUGAAGAAUGCUUUACCCUCAGUCCAAAAGGUUUAUCGCUGUUAGUUUCUAGCAGUUUGGGUGUAACCACGAAGUGAGAUGCAUUAAUUAUGUAGUUUUUAUAUUAAAGUUUAACUGCCUAUAUUAUGUACUUCAUAAGCAGACAAUCAAGAUACCUUAGAUAAUAGAAAGGAAGCAACAACCACCAACGUUUAAGAUCAAGAAAACAGUGCUUAUUGUGUCACAAGCGAACACUGCUUGUUUUCUCCAUGUCAUCAUGCAGACCUUGAGGCAAAGAGGUCAAUUAUAAUUUUGAUGUUUGUCAGGUGACUGUGAAAUUACUAUUCCUAUGUAGUAGAUACUAAAAGUUAUCUGAUUUGAGCACUAACAUAUGUGUGGGUGCAAAAGGAUUAGAAGAUGGUUAUGGGACAACCGUGAUUGUUGACCAGAAAAUAGCUAUUUCGAAGUUUGAUUAAGAAAGGCACAGUAAUCAACAUUUUGGGUACAAAAUUCUAUUGGCUGAGAUGUUCAUGGACACUAAUGGCCAGGAACCAAUACUUUAUUGUCUGAUGCAUAUUCUCCUUUCAUGUACCAUGCAUGUGACAAAAGAAUCAACUAGAUGAUGCUUAUGUAUAUUUUGGAAUCGAGUAUCAACUUCUAUGUGUGUUUUGUUAACAAUUAAUGAAUAGAACAAUUAUGGUAACAAAAAAAGAGUUGAAGAGCAGAAAACAAAAGGCUAUGCAUGCAAUGACCAGGCUAGGCCUGGAUGGUCUGAGAGAAUCGAUCAAGUACCUACGUUAGCUUUGGAUUUGGCUGUGGCUCAUGCUGCUUGUCAUUGUGUGAGCCACCUCGGAGGGGUCGGCCUGUGCCUUCCAGCCAUAUCUGCUUGUCGUCCUUUUUUUCUUUGCAUCCAUUGAUUCAAGACCAGAGAGGGGGAAGAACAUAGGGCUGAAACAUUGAGGCAAUGCAAGGUUUAGAGAGGGUUUACGGUCAUGGUACAGCCAAAAUUGAAACAUCAAUCAAAAGGAACACAUGUGCUAGCUAGAAUAUGUAUCUACAGGUUGCCUAGCUACAGCAGCUGGCCAUGUGCAUGAUGCAUGUCUUCGUGGCCGAUGGCGCUGAUAUGCAGUUAGUUUUUAAACAUGCUUGAUCAAUUCAUCACACGUACAAGCAAGCUGCUUGAUUGAAUUUGUCUGGGUGCAGUACGUGUGCGUGCACACUUGUAGGCUUAGGUAUGCGAUCUUGCUUUGGCCGGCUACGAUCGGAUCGAUCUUGAUCGGCGGAACAUCUUGGCGGCUUCUUUGCUUUGGCCGGAUACGAUCGGAUCUAUCUUGAUCGGCGGAACAUCUUGGCGGCUUCUUUGGACGGAACGUCUUGGCGACUUCUUUCGACGGAACGAACGCGACGAUGCAUCCUCAAUCCAAGAACGUGAAGAGAUAUGGACCUGAGGAGAACGUGAAGAGAUAUGGACGUGAGGUGUUUUUUUAGGGAAACGAUUAAUUACUAUUCAGUUAGAAACGUGAAGAGAUAGAGGCAUGAAUUUUUUAAUAUUCAGUUAGGAACGUGAAGGGAUAUGGACCUGAGAUGUUUUCUUAGGGAAGAGGUUUUUUUAGUGAAUUGGUAGGAUAUGUAAUGGCGAAGGUGGGUAAUAAAAUUUCCUUUGCUUAGAUCGGACGGCUGUAAUUUUUUACUCUAUUGAAUAAAUGGCUAGAUGUUUCUAA